CCUACGGGAGGCAGCAGUGGGGAAUAUUGCACAAUGGGGGAAACCCUGAUGCAGCGACGCCGCGUGAGUGAAGAAGUAUUUCGGUAUGUAAAGCUCUAUCAGCAGGGAAGAAAAUGACGGUACCUGAUUAAGAAGCCCCGGCUAACUACGGGCCAGCAGCCGCGGUAAUACGUAGGGGGCAAGCGUUAUCCGGAUUUACUGGGGGUAAGGGGAGCGUAGACGGCAGCACAAGUCUGGAGGGAAAUGCCGGGGCUUAACCCCGGAACUGCUUUGGAAACUGUGCAGCUAGAGUGCAGGAGAGGUAAGUGGAAUUCCUAGUGUAGCGGUGAAAUGCGUAGAUAUUAGGAGGAACACCAGUGGCGAAGGCGGCUUACUGGACUGUAACUGACGUUGAGGCUCGAAAGCGUGGGGAGCAAACAGGAUUAGAUACCCGGGUAGUC
rnacentral:rRNA from 1 species